CAGUAGCCGCGGGAAUACGUAGGUGGCAAGCGUUGUCCGGAAUUAUUGGGCGUAAAGGGCUCGCAGGCGGUUUCUUAAGUCUGAGGUGGAAGCCCCCGGCUCAACCGGGGAGGGUCAUUGGAAACUGGGAGACUUGAGUGCAGAAGAGGAGAGCGGAAUUCCAUGUGUAGCGGUGAAAUGCGUAGAGAUUAGGAGGAACACCAGUGGCGAAGGCGGCUUUUUGGCCUGUAACUGACACUGAGGCGCGAAAGCGUGGGGAGCAAACAGGAUUAGAUACCCCUGUAGUCCCUGUCUCUUAUAA
rnacentral:rRNA from 1 species